GAUGAAGAACGCAGCGAAAUGCGAUAAGUAAUGUGAAUUGCAGAAUUCGGUGAAUCAUCGAAUCUUUGAACGCACAUUGCGCCCCCUGGUAUUCCGGGGGGCAUGCCUGUUCGAGCGUCAUUUCAACCCUCAAGCUCUGCUUGGUAUUGAGUCCAUGUCAGCAAUGGCAGGCUCCAAAAUCAGUGGCGGCGCCGCUGGGUCCUGAACGUAGUAAUAUCUCUCGUUACAGGUGCUCGGCGUGCUUCUGCCAAAACCCCAAUUUUUCUAUGGUUGACCUCGGAUCAGGUAGGGAUACCCGCUGAACUUAAGCAUAUCAAUAAGCGGAGGA
rnacentral:misc_RNA from 1 species